rnacentral:rRNA from 1 species
GACGAACGCUGGCGGCGUGCUUAACACAUGCAAGUCGAACGAUGAAGCGGGUGCUUGCACUCGUGGAUUAGUGGCGAACGGGCGAGUAACACGUGAGUAACCUGUCCUUUUCUUUGGGAUAACGGCUGGAAACGGCUGCUAAUACUGGAUAUUCAGGCUGCAUCGCUUGGGGUGGUUUGGAAAGGUUUUUUCUGGGGUUGGGUGGGCUUGCGGCCUAUCAGCUUGUUGGUGGGGUGAUUGCUUACCAAGGCUUUGACGGGUAGCCGGUCUGGGAGGGGGGUUGGGCGGGUUGGGGCCGAGAUUCGGACCAGGAUACGACCGGGAGCCGGAGGGGGGGAAACUGCGGAAAGGAUGGAAGUUUGGGCGGACGACGGCGGCAGGAAGGUGGAGGGCUUGGGGUUGGGAACCGCUUUGUCUCGCGAAAAAGGCUCAGUUUUGGCUGUGUUGAUGGUAAUGGGUGAAGAAGCGCCGGCUAACUACGUG